rnacentral:misc_RNA from 1 species
GAAAUGCGAUAAGUAAUGUGAAUUGCAGAAUUCAGUGAAUCAUCGAAUCUUUGAACGCAUAUUGCGCCCUUUGGUAUUCCGAAGGGCACACCUGCUCGAGCGUCACUGCAAUAAUCAGGCCUGCCUGAUGUUGGGCGUCGUCUCCGUCGAGAGACGUGCCUCAAACUCCUCGGCGUCGCCGUCCGUCCUAGAGCGCAUCGAGGUUCUCAUACCACGCGUGUCUAGGCGGCCGUGGCCGCCGGAACCCCCUAAAUUUUAGUAGGCUGACCUCGGAUCAGGUGGGGAUACCCGCUGAACUUAA